AAGGUAGCGAAAUUCCUUGUCGGGUAAGUUCCGACCCGCACGAAAGGCGUAAUGAUUUGGGCACUGUCUCAACAACACACCCGGUGAAAUUGAAAUACCAGUGAAGAUGCUGGUUACCUGCGCCAGGACGGAAAGACCCCAUGGAGCUUUACUCCAGCUUGAUACUGGGAUUCGGUACUGUCUGUACAGGAUAGGUGGGAGACUAUGAAGCAAGUUCGUCAGGAUAUGUGGAGUCAUCGUUGGGAUACCACCCUUACAGUAUUGGAUUUCUAACCCGUAGCCGUGAAACCGGCGCGGGGACAAUGUCUGGCGGGGAGUUUGACUGGGGCGGUCGCCUCCGAAAGCGUAUCGGAGGCGCUCAAAGGUUCCCUCAGAAUGGUUGGAAACCAUUCGCAGAGUGCAAAGGCAGAAGGGAGCUUGACUGUGACACCGACGGGUGGAGCAGGUGCGAAAGCAGGACUUAGUGAUCCGGUGGUAUAAAGUGGGAUUGCCAUCGCUCAACGGAUAAAAGCUACCCUGGGGAUAACAGGCUGAUCACUCCCAAGAGUUCACAUCGACGGAGUGGUUUGGCACCUCGAUGUCGGCUCAUCGCAUCCUGGAGCUGUAGCAGGUUCCAAGGGUUGGGCUGUUCGCCCAUUAAAGCGGUACGCGAGCUGGGUUCAGAACGUCGUGAGACAGUUCGGUCCCUAUCCGGCGCGGGCGGAGGAUAUUUGAGAGGAGCUGUCCUUAGUACGAGAGGACCGGGAUGGACGGACCGCUGGUGUAUCUGUUGGCGACCAACGCCAUGGCAGAGUAGCCAAGUCUGGAACGGAUAAACGCUGAAGGCAUCUAAGCGUGAAGCCAACCUCAAGAUAAGAUAUCCCAUUCCUAUAAGGAAGUAAGACCCCUUGAAGACUACGAGGUUGAUAGGCACUGAGUGUAAGUGUGGUGACACAUUCAGCUGAGGUGUACUAAUAGGUCGAGGGCUUAUUCAA
rnacentral:rRNA from 1 species